AUUGAACGCUGGCGGCAGGCCUAACACAUGCAAGUCGAACGAGUGGCGGACGGGUGAGUAAUGUCUGGGAAACUGCCCGAUGGGGGGGGAUAACUACUGGAAACGGUAGCUAAUACCGCAUACCAUCUGUUGAUCCCAGAUGGGAUUAGCUAGUGGGUGGGGUAAAGGCUCACCUAGGCGACGAUACCUAGCGGGUAUGAGAGGAUGACCGGCAAAACUGGACCUGAGAAACGGUCCAGACUCCUACGGGAGGCAGCAGUGGGGAAUAUUGCAAAAUGGGGGAAAGCCGGAUGCAGCCAUGCGGCGUGUAUGAAGCAGGCCUUGGGGUUGUAAAGUACGUUCAGCGGGGAGGCGUUACCCGAAGAAGAAGCACCGGCUAACUCCGUGCCAGCCGCCGCGGUAAUUC
rnacentral:rRNA from 1 species